UGUACUGAGAGUCACCCUGCUCUAAACACGUCUGUGUUUCCAUCUCAACUGCCUCAUUCAGAGGGAGCAAGGAGUUCACAUGCCAGUCAAACGGAGCCGGGCCGGAAGAGACGAGCAGCAGGGUCUCCCAAGCGUUUCACCCGCAAAGCCCGGCCUGGGUGGAAGUUCUCUUGCUUCUAUAAGGGAAAAGGAUGUCAGACUAAUGAGAAGCAAUUGCUGGAGUUAAUACACAGAAAUAAAUUCUUCAUUGUAGUUAUGAAAGUCAAUCCAUGCCAGUAAUGUCUAAAAUCGCAAUGGGAAUUUUUGAGUGCCGCAGUUAAUAUAUUCUCCUAGAUAUGCAUCGUCAGUCCUGGAACGUUACUGAGGCCAGAAAAUUGUCAUCCUGCCCUUAUCAUCACAGUCCCAAGACACUGAAUUGCAGAGACCACAUG